GCGGGAGUGGUGAAAUGGUAGACACGCAGGAUUUAGGUUCCUGUGCAGCGAUGCGUGUGGGUUCGAGUCCCACCUUCCGCACCA
rnacentral:tRNA from 1 species